AUGAGCGGCGUUGGGGGCGCCAUUGCGAGUGCUGUGGGGAAACAAGUCGUCAGCAAGCUCGGUAGAUUCGCGGCAGAGGAGAUCACUCUGCAAUGGAGGUUCAGAGAGGACGUGCUGGACAUGGCAGAGAAGAUGAACGAUAUGGAGGCCUUGUUGCUAGACGCCGACGACCGGUCGCGCCGAGUAGGAGAAGGUGGAAGGGUCUUUCAGCGGUGGCUUACAAAAUUUCAGGGCGUCGCCUAUGACGUCAAGGACGUGCUGAAUGAGUUGGACGCUGACGAGCUCAUCAGGAAGAGCCAGUCCAAGACCAAGGUAUGGUUUUCAAGAAACAAUCAACUCUUCCAACGAAUAAACAUGCCGCACAAGAUGAAGAACAUGAGGAAGAAAAUAGACGAGAUCGAAAAGGAGGGCAAAAGGAAGCUCAAUCUUGUGCCUCAGGAAGCAAGGGCAGAAGGGAGCAGAAAUAAUGAAACUUUUGCAGCCAACAAUGGUGAAAGCAUGAUAACCGAAACGGUGGGAAGGGAAAUCGAGAAGGUGAAGAUAAUCAGAGUGCUACUGGCAAGUGAAGCUAACCAGGAUAUUUCCAUCAUUCCUAUUGUUGGCCUUGGUGGUAUAGGCAAGACAACAUUGGUUGAAUCAGUUCUCGCAGACAAAUGGGUCACUGUCUUCGAUGUCUCACUCUUUGUCAGUGUGUCCAAGUCGUUCGAUUUGCGGAAAAUUGGGUGUGCCAUCCUGAAAAGGAUGAACAGCAGUAUCAACCUUGGUAAUUGUAAUUUGCAGUUUCUUCUCGAUAAUCGGAAAAAAGAACUUGAUAAUAGAAAAUACUUGAUUGUUUUGGAUGAUCUUUGGGAAGAAGAUGGAUAUACACUGGAAGAGCUGAAGCGGAUGCUGAAAUAUGGCUGCAAGGGAAGCCGGAUUGUAGUAACUACCCGAAACCUAAGUGUAGCGCAAAGACUGCGUACAGGUUCACUUGCAAAUGAAAGGAAAAUUUGCCCUGUGCCUGAGUCUGAUCAAAUAGAUUUGGGUGUUUUAUCAUCGGAUGAGUGCUGGAAAUUAAUGAAACAAAAGGCAUUUGGGCCCGAUGAUGACCACCAUAGCUUGGAACAAAUUGGAAGGCAAAUUGCGGAAAAAUGUGGAGGUCUACCGCUCAUGGAAAACUCUCUUGGGCAAGUAAUGUCAGAGCUAAGGACUGUGAGGGCAUGGGAAGAUAUAAGAGACGCAAAGGUUGAUUUGGGUUUGAGAGAACAACAUCAAAAGAAAACAUUAGAGGGUCUAAUGCUGAGCUAUUACUACAUGAAGCCAGACUUCAAGAUGUGUUUCACGUAUUUGGCAGCCUUCCCCAAAGGCUUUAUCAUGGAUGGCAAUCGUCUAAUCCAGCAAUGGAAGGCACUUGGAUACAUCUGUUCAGAGCAUGAUGGUCAAAGGUGCAUCAACUACCUUUUGGGGAUGUCCUUUCUUCAGAUUCCAAACUCCUCUUUGGUUAGUAUUUAA
rnacentral:rRNA from 1 species